ACGGAGAGUUUGAUCCUGGCUCAGGAUGAACGCUGGCGGCGUGCCUAACACAUGCAAGUCGAACGGUACCCUUAUCUUCGGAUUGGGGUACAGUGGCGAACGGGUGAGUAACACGUUGGUGACCUGCCCCGAAGACGGGGAUAACCCUUCGAAAGGAGGGCUAAUACCCGAUGUGCUUACGCCGUUUAGAAGGGCGUAAGUAAAGCUCCGGCGCUUCGGGAGGGGCCAGCGGCCUAUCAGCUAGUUGGUAGGGUAAUGGCCUACCAAGGCGAAGACGGGUAGGGGGCGUGAGAGCGCGGCCCCCCACAAUGGAACUGAGACACGGUCCAUACUCCUUCGGGAGGCAGCAGUGAGGAAUAUUGCACAAUGGGGGAAACCCUGAUGCAGCGACGCCGCGUGGGUGAAGAAGGCCUUCGGGUCGUAAAACCCUUUUCCAGGGGACGAGGCAGGACGGUACCCUGGGAAUAAGUCCCGGCUAACUACGUGCCAGCAGCCGCGGUAAAACGUAGGGGGCGAGCGUUAUCCGGAAUCACUGGGCGUAAAGCGCGUGCAGGCGGUCUGGUAGGUUGGACGUGAAAGCUCCUGGCUUAACUAGGAGAGGCCGUUCAAAACCGCCAGGCUUGAGGGCGGAAGAGGGGAGUGGAAUUCCCGGUGUAGCGGUGGAAUGCGCAGAUAUCGGGAGGAACACCCGUGGCGAAAGCGGCUCCCUGGUCCGCACCUGACGCUCAGACGCGAAAGCGUGGGGAGCGAACGGGAUUAGAUACCCCGGUAGUCCACGCUGUAAACGAUGGAUGCUAGGUGUGGGAGGUCUUGACCCCUUCCGUGCCGUAGCUAACGCGUUAAGCAUCCCGCCUGGGGACUACGGCCGCAAGGUUAAAACUCAAAGGAAUUGACGGGGGCCCGCACAAGCAGCGGAGCGUGUGGUUUAAUUCGAUGCUACACGAAGAACCUUACCUGGGCUUGACAUGUACGUGGUAGGGAAGCGAAAGCGGACCGACCCUUCGGGGAGCGUACACAGGUGCUGCAUGGCUGUCGUCAGCUCGUGCCGUGAGGUGUUGGGUUAAGUCCCGCAACGAGCGCAACCCUCGCCGUUAGUUACAUGUGUCUAACGGGACUGCCGGUUUCAAACCGGAGGAAGGUGGGGAUGACGUCAAGUCAGCAUGGCCUUUAUGUCCAGGGCUACACACACGCUACAAUGGCCGGUACAAUGGGCUGCUACACCGCGAGGUGAUGCAAAUCUCCAAAGCCGGCCUCAGUUCAGAUUGCAGUCUGCAACUCGACUGCAUGAAGGCGGAGUUGCUAGUAACCGCGCGUCAGCCAUAGUGCGGUGAAUACGUUCCCGGGCCUUGUACACACCGCCCGUCACGUCAUGGGAGCUGGUAACACCUGAAGUCGGUGCGCCAACCGUAAGGGGGCAGCCGCCUAAGGUGGGACCGGUGACUGGGACGAAGUCGUAACAAGGUAGCCGUAGCGGAAGCUGCGGCUGGAUCACCUCCUUUCUA
rnacentral:rRNA from 1 species